AGUGAACGCUGGCGGUAGGCCUAACACAUGCAAGUCGAACGGCAGCACAGGAGAGCUUGCUCUCUGGGUGGCGAGUGGCGGACGGGUGAGGAAUACAUCGGAAUCUACUUUUUCGUGGGGGAUAACGUAGGGAAACUUACGCUAAUACCGCAUACGACCUACGGGUGAAAGCAGGGGACCUUCGGGCCUUGCGCGAUUGAAUGAGCCGAUGUCGGAUUAGCUAGUUGGCGGGGUAAAGGCCCACCAAGGCGACGAUCCGUAGCUGGUCUGAGAGGAUGAGCAGCCAAACUGGAACUGAGACACGGUCCAGACUCCGACGGGAGGCAGCAGUGGGGAAUAUUGGACAAGGGGCGCAAGCCUGAUCCAGCCAUACCGCGUGGGUGAAGAAGGCCUUCGGGUUGUAAAGCCCUUUUGUUGGGAAAGAAAUCCAGCUGGCUAAUACCCGGUUGGGAUGACGGUACCCAAAGAAUAAGCACCGGCUAACUUCGUGCCAGCAGCCGCCGUAA
rnacentral:rRNA from 1 species